UCAUUGAUCAACAAGGAAAGCACAUCCCUUAAGAUGGGUUUAGGGGUGAUUCUUUUUCUUGUUGCUCUUUUGAAAGGUGUCCAGUGUGAGGUGAAACUUGUCGAGUCUGGAGGUGGCCUGGUGCAACCUGGAGGAUCCUUGAAACUCUCCUGUGCAGCCUCUGGAUUCACUUUUAAUACUUACUGGAUGGGCUGGGUCCGGCAGGCUCCAGGGAAGGGACUAGAAUGGAUUGGAGAAAUUAAUCAGGAUAGCAGUACAAUAAACUAUACUCCAUCCUUGAAGGAUAAAUUCACCAUCUCCAGAGACAAUGCCCAAAACACUCUGUACCUGCAAAUGAACAAACUGGGAUCUGAGGACACAGCCAUUUAUUACUGUGCAAGAGCCACAGUGAGGAGAACACAGUAUGUGCCCAGACGAAAACAUAAUUGUGAGGCCCCUCACAACCACUAG